GGGGUUGUAGCUCAGUGGUAGAGCACUUGUCUCACAAGUGUGAGGCACUGGGUUCCAUCCUCAGCACCUCA
rfam:Ictidomys tridecemlineatus contig127474, whole genome shotgun sequence.